AGUUAUUAGUUUAGGAAACAAUGGAUUUUGAAAGUCUAUAUCAAAUGUUCGAAUCAUUUAGUAACUU
rnacentral:tRNA from 1 species